AAAAAGUAAUCUGGUAGACUGGGAGCAAAGUAUCUAAAAAAGUAAUCAGGUAGACUGGGAGCAAAGUAUCUAAAAAAUAAUCUGGUAGACUGGGAGCAAAGUAUCUAAAAAAGUAAUCUGGUAGACUGGGAGCAAAGUAUCUAAAAAAGUAAUCUGGUAGACUGGGAGCAAAGUAUAUAAAAAAGUAAUCUGGUAGACUGGGAGCAAAGUAUCUAAAAAAGUAAUCAGGUAGACUGGGAGCAAAGUAUCUAAAAAAGUAAUCAGGUAGACUGGGAGCAAAGUAUCUAAAAAAUAAUAAAGUAAUCAGGUAAACUAGGUACAAAUUAUUUGAUUAUUAAUGUGGUAGAUUGGAUUGAUUGGAUUUUG